ensembl:snoRNA U3 Small nucleolar RNA U3
AAAACUAUACUUUCAGGGAUCAUUUCUAUAGUUUCUGACUUGAGAAAUGUGUUUCUAGAGUGUAUGGUCUCGCCAACAAUGAUGAUGAGUUGUGAUAGUUCCUUUAUGAGUAUGAAGCUGAAAGAGAUUAAUGAUAUGUUUCAUAUGUUGUAUAUUGUUGAUGAUUGUUCAUUGCUUUCUGGAAGUGCAGUAAAACAGAGAAUAUGUUCAGAGUGGU